GCCCCGGUAAACGGCGGCCGUAACUAUGACGGUCCUAAGGUAGCGAAGUUCCUUGUCGGGUAAGUUCCGACCCGCACGAAAGGCGUAAUGAUUUGGAUACUGUCUCAGAGAGGGGCUCGGUGAAAUAGACUUGUCUGUGAAGAUGCGGACUACCUGCACCUGGACAGAAAGACCCUAUGAAGCUUUACUGUAACUUGAAAUUGAAAUUGGACUUUAUUUGCGCAGUAUAGGUGGGAGGCUAUGAAGAUAUUCUUGCGGGAAUAUUGGAGCUAUCAGUGAGAUACCACUCUUGUAAUGUUAGAUUUCUAACUUUAGAUCAUAAUCUGGUUAAAGGACAGUUUCAGGCGGGCAGUUUGACUGGGGCGGUCGCCUCCCAAAGAGUAACGGAGGCGCGCGAAGGUUCCCUCAGGCUGAUUGGAAACCAGCCGUGGAGUGUAAAGGCAUAAGGGAGCUUGACUGCGAGAGAGACAUUUCGAGCAGGUACGAAAGUAGGUCUUAGUGAUCCGG
rnacentral:rRNA from 1 species